CAGGCCGCUGCGUCGGAGUAAACCUCCACCAACUGACUUAUCCAGGCGCCCUGUACUCAUCCAUUUUAACUACAAGGAAUGUUGUAUACCCAUCCAACAUGUGCAUCCAUGGUGUUUUUAAGCAAUUUCUUAAAGAAACCCAUAUUUCUGACCCGAGGACUAACACACAGGUUAAAGUUAAGGAUUGAGGACAGCAGUUAGGAUUGCGACUCCCUCCUUUAUGCCUAAUGCUCUAGGAUCAGUUGGCAGCAUGUAGCUAAUUAAAUAAGGGUUAGUUUGGACUACAUUCUGACUCAAAGUUAAAGAAAAAAGAAAAUACAGCACUUACAAUGCUUUUAUAUCUGACUAGAAUGUUCCAUUAUUUAUUAGCGGGAGCCUGCAUGCGAGUCGAGUUGUUACCUUCCCGCUGCUGACUGUAAUCCGCACCGUGUCCUCGAGUCUUACUCCAGCCAGGGACGCCCACUGAUAGUCCUCAUCCGGUUCUCAUUUCCACGUGACGACCGGGUCUCGCCUCGGCUCACGAGACAGAAGAAUCUCUAUUUUUUUGCCUCCAAAAUGCUUGUUGAGAAAAGAGGACGUCCUCUUACUUCAAACUGAAUGUUUGGAAACUCCAUUUGUAUGCCAAGAUGGAAAAUUCAGU